rnacentral:rRNA from 1 species
CCCUUAGAUGUUCUGGGCUGCACGCGCGCUACACUGAUGCGAUCAACAAGUUUUUCCUAUGUCGAUAGACACGGGUGAUCUUUUGAACUCGCAUCGUGAUGGGGAUAGAUUAUUGUAAUUAUUAAUCUUCAACGAGGAAUUCCUAGUAGGUGCAAAUCAUCAGUUUGCAUCGAUUACGUCCCUGCCCUUUGUACACACCGCCCGUCGCUGCUACCGAUUGGUUGAUCUGGUGAAUUAUUCGGACUGCCGGCUGAAGGGGUUUCCUCAUCUGCCAGCGGAAAGUCUUGUUAACCCUAUCAACUAGAGGAAGCAGAAGUCGUAACA